GAGACACCCUUAUGGGGCAGGACUUGCUUCAGUGAAGCUUUGUCGCUCACUGAGUCUGCCCCCUGAGUGUGUAUCU
rfam:Myotis brandtii contig185682, whole genome shotgun sequence.